GGGGGGGGGGGGGGGGGGGGGGGGGGGGGGGGGGGGGGGGGGGGGGGGGGGGGGGGGUGGGGCGGGGGGGGGGCGAGUGGGGGGGGGGGGAGGAAGACGGGGGGAGCUACUUGGUGGUGGGGGAGGACGGAGGGAGACUUGCGCGAAGACCGCAUACGACGUACGGGUGAAAGCGGGGGAUCUUCGGACCUGGCGCGAUGGGAGGAGCCGAUGUCGGAUUAGCUAGUUGGCGGGGGAAAGGCCCACCAAGGCGACGAUCCGUAGCUGGUCUGAGAGGAUGAUCAGCCACACUGGAACUGAGACACGGUCCAGACUCCUACGGGAGGCAGCAGUGGGGAAUAUUGGACAAUGGGCGCAAGCCUGAUCCAGCCAUACCGCGUGGGUGAAGAAGGCCUUCGGGUUGUAAAGCCCUUUUGUUGGGAAAGAAAAGCAGCAGGUUAAUACCCCGCUGUUCUGACGGUACCCAAAGAAUAAGCACCGGCUAACUUCGUG
rnacentral:rRNA from 1 species